UAAAAAGGGAAAGAAGCAGGAAGCGUUUUCCUUCUUUUAGGAGGAGCUUCGUACCUGCCAUUGUUUGUGGACACCGGUCUCCAGUUCCUUCAGGCUUCCAGCGCACGCUUCAGCCUUCCGAGACAGGCCCUUUGGCUUCCUGGCCCAGACUCACACCGGCGACUCCGCCGUGGGCUGCAGCUGUUUCUGGGUCCUCCAUCUGUCCCGCCCGCAGGCUGCCACUGUGGAGUCUUCUCCCCUGACCCAGCCGGCAGCCGCUGGGCCUCUAUGCCUCCCGGUCCCGUGAGCCCACCUAGCAGGCCCCUUGUAAAGUCGUGCAAAGGCGUGUGAGCCCCUGGAGAAUCCCAGCAGACACAGCCGAUCUCCGUGUUCUGUCGUGAAAAGGAGAGACUGGGAGUGGGGAAAGGAGGCGAUGAAGUCGAGGAACGUGGGGGAGCACUGUUCUCCAAGGCUAUUUGCGGUGCCUGGUCGGUUCUGAGGAGGUGUGUCCACCAGCAACUUGUUCAGCAAAGCAACCUCAUGGAAACAGCGAUCGUCUUUGCCCGGAGGGACCAGGCUUGCCACUUUGUAGAUGGGCAAGUUGGGUCUCGGAGGAGAGAAAGGAUUUUCAGGGCACCCGGCUGAUCGGAGGAGGGGUCCUGAGCCCAAGGACGCAGCUCCAGGUGUGACCAUCCGCCUCAAAGGCCCGAAGACCAAUCGGGUGCGGCCCUUUCUCUGCCAGGAGGCUUUGUGAUUGGAGAGAAGAGGAUUGAACAGGAAGUUGUCUCGGUUAGCGCUGACUGUGGCAACAGGCACAUCUCAGGCUUGUUUCUGAAGUGUGUCACAAUCCGGCACCUACACGGGGCAGUCACUGAUGUCCCAGGUGGGGUGGACAGCGUCCCAGGCAGCUCCUGUGAACUGAGCAGCUUUGUUCCACCACAUCUUUCCGCCGUGAUGUUCUGGCCUUGGAGCAGCUGACCGUGGAUUGAAUCCUCUGAAAUCGUGAGCCACAUCCAACCUCUCCUCCUAUAGGCUGUGGGUGCUGGUGCUGUGUCCCCAUGACAGGUAAGCUGACUGACAGAGCAUGGGCUAAGGUAGGUGCCCAGCCCUGACAUGUGAAAUUUGCCUGGGAGGCUUCAAGGUGAAGGGUCACCAGCGAGGCACUGCUGACUUCCCAAGGUGGAAGUAACUGCAGGGUCCCGUCCCAACCGCUCCCUGUGUGCAGGGACCCUGGGCUCCCGGGGGCCUCCUCCCUUGCUUCCACCAAACCCACUCUUCGUCCCACAGUGUCCCUACCCCUCACCCCAGUGGAGGGGAUGGAAGGCACAGGUUCCAGGCAGAUCCGGAGACAGAAGGCUCUGCCAGCCCAAGUCUGCCCGCACCAUGGUGUCGCAUCUGUUUAUGGAAGAGAGGAGCCCAAAAGCUGCUCGUCUCCUCCAGCUCCUCUGCUCCAGGGUUCCUGGAGGACAGAAGGCUGGUGGGAGGUGGAGGAGUCAGGAGUAAUGGAGCUGAGGAAAUGCAUUUGCCCAGAACCAAAACCAGAGACAGUGGACGGCUCCCGAACCUGCAAGUGGUCAGGGAAGAGGCGGGGCCAGAGGAGGAUGGGGCAGAGACGGCAGCCGCAGCUGGACUGCGGAAGGGAGCCAUCCCUCAGCCGCAUCCACACCUCGGACGGGAUGGGCACACAGCCCCGCUGGCAGCUCAGCGAGGCCUGCAAGCAGUUCUAACACUUGCCACAGGCCAAGAAAAACAAAAAAGGCAGGAGAGAUAGCCCCUGGAAGAGGGGCUCCCCCAUGCUAACCGCUCCUCUGGGAGGGGGUGGUGGCAGUUGCUCGGUGUCUGUUGUCCCUGCUGCACCCCACAGGGCGAGCACACCUCCUAUUUUAUUUCAUUUUCGUUCUUUGAGACAGGGUUACUUCCCCCAGCUGCCAGGGCUCCCUGCAGGAUGUCCCAUCACGGCUCUCGAUGGUUGGUGCCCAGGGCUGGGCCAAGGAGGGGAAGCAGGCUGCAGAGGUGCCCAGUACAAGAUGGGCUGCGCAGGCUUCAGGCUCUGGGCUUGGGCAUCUUGGACCCCAGCCAUGUGGCUGAAGGGCUCAGCUUCCUCAUUUAUAAAACAGAAUUACAGCCAGCUACAGUGGUGUACAUCUGUGAUCUCAGCUUUCUGGGAGGCUGAGGCAGGAGGCUUGCAAGAUGGAGCUCAGCCUGGGAAGCUUAGUGAGACCCCGCCUCAAAAUAAAACAAGGCAAAUCGGGCAGGGGUGCAGCUCAGUGUGAAGGGCACUGGUUCAGUCCCGCAGCUGGGAUCGUGAAUCAGAACUGAGCUGUACACAGAGCCUGGCCAGUGCUGGACAGAGUGGCCUGGGGUCUUCAGUACAAACUGCGCCUACCCCAAGAGGCCAGGUGGAGGGGAGCAAAGCAGAAGUGGAGCAGUGGGAGGGAUGGUGUCUUUAUAAGACACGAUCACAAACACGGUGACUGCUGCUGCCCAGCGCCGUCCAACAGAAAGGCAGCUCAUAAACAUACCACACUGUGUCCUCAUCCACCUUAGUCACCGGAUCUGGCACCGUGUGACUUCCGGCUCUUCCCCAGGGUCACAAUGACCACGAAAGGGAGAUGUUUUGAAUCCAUUCAGGGCAUCGAGGCAGCCAGGACAGCGCAGCUGAAGACCCUCAAGACAGAGGACUCCAGAGCUGCUGCAGGAAGAGGGAAGGAUGACGGGAUGAGUGUGUGCAAAGUGAGGGGAGGAUUCUGAGGGGAUUCACACAAUGGGUCUUUCGUUGUAAUACAUUUUGAAAAUGCCAGCAGUCACACACACCCUGUGUGUGGCACUGAGCUGCACGGAGCACUGCACACAGGUCCGGCUGCCUGCAUGCUUGGCCUUCCACUCGGGGACACUGAGGCCCAGGGCCUUGGGCUGAGCCGGGCCGGGCCACACCCUCCACCUUCCAGGCUUCGUGUUCAGCCCACCACCUGCCCUGCCAGUUGUCACUGCAAAUUUCAGCGAUUAGCUUCUCUCUUCAAAGUCUGUGGCGGCUGGCACCAGAUUCUGCAAGCAAGCAGUUUGGGAACAAUGCGAAAUCAGUGCUUCAUCAGGACGCGCAGCUAGUGCCUUCUCCGCCCCAGGACGCUCUUCUGGGACGCGGGGAACCAAAGACGCUCAAAUGUUAAAACACUUACUGGGGAAACUGCCAUCCGUGUCCGUGAAUUCCUAAAAAC